GCUCCCAUAGCUCAGUUGGUAGAGCACUUCACUCGUAAUGAAGGGGUCAGCAGUUCAAGUCUGCUUGGGAGCU
rnacentral:tRNA from 1 species